rnacentral:lncRNA from 1 species
AAUGUUUAAAUGUUCACAAAUGUCGGUUGUCAUCACAAAAAUUCGCUAUUGCUGUCUUUCGGCUAUCUUCAUCAUCAGCUGUUGCUGUUGCCAUUUCUGUUGUCAUCAUUGUUGUUAUUUGCUAGUUCUAUCCAUCAGCUCUCCCCACUGUUGGCUACCACCAACAGGUGGGUUGAACUCCUGUCAUUAAGAUUAAGAAAAGAAAAAACAACUAAAAUAUAACAGUUAUUUUCUCUUACAAUCUCUUUCUGACUAAUUCUACUCUCUUCAUGGAACUCAUUGUAUUUAUUUGAACUUCAGACAUGAAAGUUUUUCCAUGAUUUAUUUGAAGGAG